UAUAGGCCCAUAAUGGCGACUGGCCAAAACUCGCGCCGUACAUAUAUCCGAGUCAAAGGCGGUAAAUUGGUGGUUUGUUGAAGGGAGUUAAAAGUCUGAAGAUCGGAUACGCCCUCGCUAUCUAACCUCCUUUUUUACGCUGUGUCAAUCCAAAAGCUCAACAAAGGAAUAUCCUCGACGAGGAAACACAUGUAUAUUUACACAAACUACGUAGAGUAGAGGGGAGGAAAGUAUGGUUAACUAUAGAAAAAGAAAAUAUCCGGCAGUCCUAUCACAAAAGGCCCCUAUUCGAUCACAGAUCAAGGAGAAACAAGGCCAGUAAGUAAAAGCAAAAAGCAAAUCACUCAACACAAACAACUCACAAUAAACGAAAAUACGAAAAGAAAAAAAAAAGAGAGAGAGAGAGAGAUUGACAUCGGAGAGCGUAGUAACUUAAAAUCAAAUACGGUGUAAAAAAGAUGAAGAAAAAGAUGAAAAUAUAGAUAGCAAAACAGGAGAAGAUAACUUUAACAAGCAAAUGCCAUGCAUGCAGCUCGCACCAAAACACCAAAAACCCCUCAAAGACUCAUUACAACAUAUCUAGACG
rnacentral:sRNA from 1 species